rnacentral:rRNA from 1 species
AUUGAACGCUGGCGGCAGGCCUAACACAUGCAAGUCGAGCGGAUGAAGGGAGCUUGCUCCUGGAUUCAGCGGCGGACGGGUGAGUAAUGCCUAGGAAUCUGCCUGGUAGUGGGGGAUAACGUCCGGAAACGGGCGCUAAUACCGCAUACGUCCUGAGGGAGAAAGUGGGGGAUCUUCGGACCUCACGCUAUCAGAUGAGCCUAGGUCGGAUUAGCUAGUUGGUGGGGUAAAGGCCUACCAAGGCGACGAUCCGUAACUGGUCUGAGAGGAUGAUCAGUCACACUGGAACUGAGACACGGUCCAGACUCCUACGGGAGGCAGCAGUGGGGAAUAUUGGACAAUGGGCGAAAGCCUGAUCCAGCCAUGCCGCGUGUGUGAAGAAGGUCUUCGGAUUGUAAAGCACUUUAAGUGGGGAGGAAGGACAGUAAGUUAAUACCUUGCUGUUUUGACGUUACCAACAGAAUAAGCACCGGCUAACUUCGUG